UGAAGAGGACACGGUAGGCUGUGGGCUGCAGGGUGGACCCCAGCAGCAAGGAGUAAGCUGCCCGAGAGCACCUGGAGUUGUGUUUAAACGUUACCAGCAGCCGGGCGGUGGUGGCGCACGCCUUUAAUCCCAGCACUCGGGAGGCAGAGCCAGGCGGAUCUCUGUGAGUUCGAGGCCAGCCUGGGCUACCAAGUGAGUUCCAGGAGAGGCGCAAAGCUACACAGAGAAACCCUGUCUCGAAAAAAAAAAAAAAAAAAAAAAAAAAAAACGUUACCAGCUUCGCCAACAAGGGCCUAAGCAGUGAGGAAAUGCUUACAUUUGAGAAGAAUUUUAGUAGUAUGUGCUGUUUUAAGGUAUUUGAAAAUAAUCUUAUAGGUAAUAUAUCCUAAACUUUAUUCUAUUGCUUUGCCUUUGCAGCACCUGACUUACAUAUAUCCACAUCUCACUAAAACGGAUAUUCGUGCACACUAAGAACAUCUCAAAGUCCUACAAGGUUUCUAGGAAGAGGAGCAACGGUCCCGUGCCAAGUUCCACAAAGGUGAAGAAGAAAGACUGAUAAAAAAAAAUCCCUCCAAUUCCACCAGUGCCUCCACCUCACCAUGUGCUGCUUGGCCAUGGAAGGCACACAGCUCCUCUCCUUCGGCUGCUCCGAGAGCAAGGAGAUAACAGCUUCACACUGUCAUCUGUAAACAGCCUCUCUCCACGCAGGCAUGGCCAGCUGACUCGUAAUGAGAAAGGGGAGAACUGCUGGGCGGUGGUGGCGCACGCCUUUAAUCCCAGCACUGGGAGGCAGAGCCAGGCAGAUCUCUGUGAGUUUGAGGCCAGCCUGGGCUACAGAGUGAGUUCCAGGAAAGGCAUCAAAGCUACACAGAGAAACCCUGUCUCGAAAAACCAAAAAAGAGAAAGGGAAGAACCAAGACCCCGGCUUUGAGCAGGAGUCUUAUCUGAGGCACCCUGACAGAGCGCAGGGGAUUCACUACAGCACACCAUGUCAGGUCUUCAGCCUGGGGAGGGACUAUGUGCUCUAACACAAGCUGAUGGGGUACUGAGUGACAGUUCUUAAUGUAACACUGCCACUAAGCCUUGGCUAUGUGUGCAGGACUUCCUCGCUGCAUGGGAGGGACAUGGGCACCGGGAAAGAAUGUUGGGAGGUAUUUUCUGCAAAGAAACACUGCCCAGGCUGCUGUAGGUUUAGCCUGAUGAAGGUGUUCCUAAUCACCACAGACUCAAAGCCGCAAGCAAGUAACAGUCUUUCCUCGUUUUUUUAAAACCAUAAAACUGACUUCUGAGUAAAGACUAUCAAAAGCCA